GAAAAAAAAAAAAGCAAGUCACCUUAGAGUCAGAAGUGAAAUUCCUUUUAACAGGAUUCUUACCCAAUUAGUAAAGAAUUAACCUCAGGAAAUGCUUCGAGAGACCAAGUUUCAAAUCACUCUAUCAUAAGAGAUUGCAAAGAAAUCACUGAUGUGCUUGUGAUGGCCAGAAUGAAGAAACCUGGAUGAGGGCACACAAAAGCACACAAAAGCAAUGCCUACAACACACACAGGCUUCCUCGGCACCCUGUAGGCUGAUGACUCUGUUGUCUAGUGUGAGCCAACAGGUGAUAAUGCACAUUUAGAGGUGAUUAUAAAAGCUGUGCCACGGAUAAAUACAGGACGCACUUCCCUGAGGAAGACUUCUGGAUUCCACCUCUUGUUUGCUGGGAUUAUGAUCUAUAAGGAGAGUUGAGUCAAACCAAACAAUUAUAAUACAUUUUACCUCUUGGGAUAGAUUCAGAGAAUACUCAGGAAGGGACAUGAAAGCACAAUGAGAUGUACAAGAGUGAAUCCAGAAGACACUAUAAAAUUAAAAGUUUUUACUACUCCACUGCUACAAAUGCAAUGAGCGUUCUUUCCCUAGUUUAAGACAGCAGCUUGAAAGGGAAACAUCAGACAUGUUUCCAGUAUCUUCACUUUUUUGAUUAUGAAAAAAAAAGUUUCUUUUAAAAAUAUUUUUAUUAAAUGUUUUAUUAAAUUUAUUUCCUUGUGUGUGUGUGUACAUGCACUCAGGUCAUGAUGGCAAUGUAGAUCUUAAAGGACAACUUGUUACAGUCAGUUCUCUCCAUCUAUCACGUGGGUCCUGGGGGAAUCAACGUCAGGUCAGGACUGACAGCAAGCACUUUCACUGAGUCGUUGUACUGACCCAGAAACUUCUUAAAGAACUACAGAAACUCAAACUCUUGACUGUUAGAAACCCAAACAUGCCAGUCACAUCUUUUCAUUAAAUGCACACAUACAAAAGAAGGACUAUAGUUAAUAGGAAAGGUUAAAAGUCACUGUCAUUCUCUCUCUGUCUCUGUCUCUCUCUCUCUCUGUGCGUUUGUAUAUGAGAGAAAGCCAGACAGACAGCGGCGGGGAGGAAGGACAGAAGGACAGAGGAAGAGGUAGGAAAGGGAGGCAGGCAGGGGGUACAGAGGAUAAGGGAGAGACGAAGAAAAUAUUUAAUACAUGAAUUUCAGUACAAGGACUGAGAAGAUGAUGGAUCGGUGAGUAAAGUACUUGCUAUGCAACUGUGAAUAAAGGAGUGUGGAGUCCAAUCCCCAUAACCCAUAUAAAAAGCUUGGUGGGUGUGGCACCCAGUGCACAGGACGCAGACAACACAGGCAAAGACAACUUGAAACAAGCCGGUUAGUUAGACUAGCUGAAUCAAGAAAGCUGUAAGAGCCCUGGCCUCAGCGUAUUAGGUGGUGAGUGAUUAAAAGCACACAUUAACUUCGAGUCUUCAUAUUCAUGCACACUCAAGUGUACCCACACGUGUGAACAUGCAUGCAAAACACAUAUCCAUGAACAGGAAAAAAAAAUCACAGCAUAAAAUAACAAAGGUGGCAUGAUCAGUUGGUACUUAAUUUCUAUUUUGAUGAAAUUUAAGUUAGCAUCUGUUAAGUCAAAUUGUUAUUAAAUGUCUGGUGAUUAAGUUCUAUGUUUAUAAAUCAAGACACAUGCAAUAUUUACUAUCACGAAGAGCUGAGUGUCUUGCAGCUCAAGUAUGAGAUCAAGAGACAUAAAGUAAAAAGAUGAGAGUCACGUUAAUAUAUACAGUGUCAAAGAACAAGGCUAAGAAUGGGCCAGUUACCAUGACAACCACAAUGCCCAUUAUUCUGGCUUCCCCAUGAAAACCUUCUAGAAUGCUGGCUCGGAUCACAAAGCACAAAGCAGUGCCUGUUCAUCCUUUUGGCUGGCUGGCUGAGUUGAGCACAGGGUCACUCAUUUUCCACAGACAUUCAGUGGCCCAUGCUGAAUUUAGUUUGGUGGAAAAGACAUCUUCCCCUGUGCUGGACAGUGUGCUUGGGACUCCUGCGUGUUCUUCAGCUACUGUGACAGAAUGUCAUGAGGGGAGGCUGGAGCUGUGGCUCUGUCUAUUUUGCAAAGGUGAAGAAUCUUCUCAUCAACCUACCUCAAAGGUGUUCUUGGUCAUGCCCGAGAGACCAUAAUAUGACGUUCCUGUGGCAACUGCACAGACACAGAGCUCCCCAAUUUCAUCCGUCCUGCACAGCUGAGGCACCCCAUCCGGCUUCACUGAACACAUGAUGGCUAAAGAACGCUAUACUGAUUGAUUAACAUGGCUUGCUGGGGUUUGUUGAGCUUUUGGUCUGAAGUUUGGAAGAAAUCCAAUAGAAGGUUGUUGGCACUGGUAAGUACCAUAGGCUAUUUAUCAUAACGUGAUGAAGGAUACACAUGUCAGGUUGGAGGAAGCAUGCUGACCUCCUACAUCUUUCUUUCUUAUGUCAUUAUUGUCAUGUGACAAUAAUCUCAACUAAUCCUAAUCAUCCUCCAAAGGCCUUGUCUCCAGACACUAUUAACACAUAGAUUAGGGGACCAAGUUUCUCCCAAAACCCAAAAUACAGAACUCAGUAAACAAAUGUAUCCUACAGGAAGCCGGAGCAUAAGGAUUUGACUUCCUGAUGUCACCUACCUGACCCUCAUGUAAACAGAGAUGAACGCAUACAGACACAGAGAGAUGAGUUUAUGGGCUCCUCUUGCUACUUCCUGUUCUUUAACAGCAACAUGCCAUAUUAAUACUGCUCAUUCUGCUUGGAGACUCCCUUUCUCUGAGAACACCGACCAUUUUAGUCAAAGCCCUCAUCUGUGACUGGCAACCCCAGUGGAGACACACUACCCUAUGGCUGGCUGUCAUCUGCUCCACUUCCACAGCGUUCACCAGGGUCCUCUGCUGGCUCUUGGAAACAUCUCUGCAUUCUGUCCAUCCCCCAAGCAGGGUACUAGAGGCCUCAUUCAUUAUACAUGACCUAGAACCUUCAAAUACGGUCUCUUUUGAGCAAGAGGCAUUCAGUAUUUUUACAAGAAAAAACCCACAGUAAGAUACUCAACAGUGGACCAUGGUUACCACAUCACCAGGUCUGAAGCUUUGGGGAAGACUUGACUUUUCACAUCUCCAUAAAUCUGCAUGUCCUCACUGGAACCCAUGGCCAAGCCACAGGGGCCACCUAAACAGCUUUCUUAUAACUCUCCCAGCCAAUUUAAUUUGUGAUCCGACCCCCUCUUCUUUUUUUUAAAAAGAACUACAAACUGAUAGAUGUGCCAAAGGCCAAACCAAUCUGCCAAGAGUGCACAAAUGCAUCCGCAAUUUUACCUUCACUGAUUACCAUAGAUAAUAAGCAUCUUUUAAUUAAGUGGACUAAAAGCCAGGCAAGCAAUCAGCUGUACUGAUGUUUACUGGAAGUUCAAUUUCUCUUUCAUUACCAAAGCAGAAUAAGCUGUCCCUGGAAGAUUAUUAAACAUGGGACACAAUUUGGUUUAGAUGACAACAUAGAAGAAAUGUCAGUCCUAACCACUUCAAGCCAGAGUAAUUAGUCCUCUGAAGUCUUUUUUCUACAACAGAACAGAAAAUCUAAUAGCCAAAUACUUGUUUUCCUUUAAAAAUCGCAAGUAUUAUGCAAAAUACACAUAAUUAUAUGGAUGGUCAACUUGAUUGGAUUAUGAAACACUUUGGAUACUAGUAAGACACACCUUUGGGUAUGUCCAAGCGGUCAUAUCCAGGGUGGAUUAACUGAAGAGAGAAGUUAAAUAGAAGAUCCUCCUUAAAUGUGGACAGUACCAUCCCAUGGGCUGGGAUCCCAGACUGAAUCAAAGGGGAGAAAAUGAGAGAGCAGAGUCCCAUUAUUCCCUGCCCUCUGCUUCCUGGUCUUUUGAGAAGUGAGCAAGCAGCUGUUUCAUGUUCCUAUCACCAGGCAGCUGCCUAUGACCAUGAUUUUCCUACCAUGAUAAGCCAUGACCCCUUAGACCAGGAACCAAUGUGAUUAUCUCCUUUAAGUUGCUUCUGGUUAGGUAUUUAACAAUGAAAGCAUUGAAAACAAUUCACCAUGAGCAUUCUAACCCCUUCUAUACUGUGCUAUACAACAUUCUUUAAGAAAGUCCCCUUUUAUCUUUAUACUAAAAUCUUUAAUGAAGCUUUUCACAGCCCCACAUAAAAUAGUUUCAUAGGAUAUAUCAAAGUUCUUUUCUUUAACCUAGUAAUUUAGCCUCAGAACUCUUGCAUAUGAAAAAUUCAUGUCAAGUCUUCAGAGAAUGUUUUGGAGAAGGUGGUAUGCCAUCAGCACAAAUGCAGUGAAAGUCACUUAUGUCAGCUCAUUUCCCCAAAACAGUAAUCCAUAUCAUCCUAUACAUAGCACACAACAUUCACAUGAGACAUCAGCCAGAGGACACUUUUCUAUGUUCACAUAUUAUAGAAACAACCCACAGAGAAUGUUACAAUGAAUGCCAAGUACGUACACUACUGCCAUCGAAUAUAUCCAGGAACAGAUUGAAUAAAGAGUGAGAAGAAACAGAGUUUAAACUGAGAAACUUCUCAUAACAGCCAAUUUACGGAAAUAACCUAGGAGUCUAACGAUAGAGCAAAGCAAAAGAAAGUGUGGCAUACAUUCACAGUAGGAUUGCUUUAUUGCCACAAAAAAGAGUAAUCUUAGGUUGUAUGGAAGCACAGCUUAGGACGAGCAUUGGAGAAACCUGGAUUGUCAAUUACAGGUCUAUUUUUUUCGACAGAAGGAAAUGACACCUACUCACCUGGAAUACCAGAGAGAAAACUGGUCUGUCAACCUGGUUACUCUUUGCUUUUCUAUUAGGAGCCAGCCUCUACCAGAAAUCCCCAAUAUCCUGAGCAUUGCUCAAGGCCCUAAUCCUGAAGUUAAUAAAACUCAUAUACACUAUGAAUGAGGCCCCAAGCAUAUUGCAUCCUUCACAAAUAGAAUCUAUCCCUAUGUUUAACACAGAUCCUUCCCCUAGGCCAACCAUUCUCAAUCUGUGGGUCACGACCCUUUUGCGGGGAGGGUCACACAUCAGACAUCCCACAUAACUGAUAUUUACAAUUCAUAACAGUAGCAAAAUUAUGAAGUAGCAACAAAAUAAUUUUAUGGUAAGGAUUACCAUAAUAUGAAGAACUGUAUUAAAGGAUCACAGCAUUAGGAAAGUUGAAAACCGCUGCUCUAGGCCCUAUCCCUGAACUCUGUCUAUCAGUCAAUAGAAUUCAUUCUAUUGUAAGGGUCACAGGUUACAAGUUCUACUAUGUUUAAAUGUAUAAUAAAUCAUUAAGGUCAGUCUCUAGAAAGAUACAACCCAGUGCCUGUAAAGGUGGUACACUGCCUUCAGUUUUACUCUUCACCUCUAGUGGAUAGUUUCCCUACAGGCUGGGAAGCUUGCAGGGUAGAAGGGCAGGGGGAUAAGAGUUGGGGGAGUAGGAGGUAUAUAAGGAGGUAUUCCCACAAAGUUAUUUGUAAGAAAAAUCAAUGCAACUGGAGAUAAUCACAUUAAAUAAAGUUAGUUGGUCUCAAAGGACAAAUACUUUGUUUUCUUGUUUGUGGUUCCUAGAUUUUAUAUAGUCAUAUAAAGGAAUAUAUAUAUAUUAAUUAAAUGAAAGGAGAAGUAAUGUUUAAGGGAACAAAAGGCUUAAUUGGAAUAAGGAGGGUUGAAGAAAGGAAGAUUGGAAGAACAGGGUGGGGAGCAGAAUGCAUUCAAAGUAUGAAAUAUAUCUUUAAGAAAAUAAAUACAUUCAAUGCUGAAAGGAGUUAUCUCUUGCAGUCAGUUGUCUCAGGAGUGUAAUCCCAGUAGUUAAUUAAAAAGUUCAUCCGCUUACAACACCAUCAUUAGUUUAAACAUGCAUAAGAAUUAAGCAAGGAAGCAGCUCUUUUGGUAAGACUGAAGAAUGUGAUCAGAAUACAAGGGAAAUGCCAGAGACUAGGC
rnacentral:sRNA from 1 species